rnacentral:rRNA from 1 species
AUGGAGAUGGACGCGACGGAGAGGCUGCGGUGGCGCUUCUCGGACGGCGGCCUCACCGAUCUGCUCGACGCCCGCAGCCUCCACGGCUCCCCCGACAUUGGAAAGAGAAUGCAGUUCCAUUCUUCUCUAGUACAAAGGCUUGCUUUAGAAAAGGAGAUUGAGGGUCACGUAGGUUGCGUGAAUGCUAUUGCAUGGAACUCAAGUGGCUCACUUCUGAUAUCAGGAUCAGAUGACACUAGAGUCAACAUCUGGAAUUAUGCUAAUCAAGAGCUGUUGCAUGAAAUUGAUACUGGACAUUCAGCAAAUGUAUUUUGCACAAAAUUUGUACCGGAAACAUGUGAUGAAGUAGUAGUUUCAGGAGCAGGAGAUGCUGAGGUUCGUGUUUUCAAUUUGUCUCGUUUAAGUGGCACAAGGCCUAGGGAGAUUUCCAUGGAGCCAGCUGCAGUUUACCAAUGUCACUCAAGGAGGGUCAAGAAACUAGCUGUCGAAGGUGGCAACCCUAAUGUAGUGUGGAGUGCAAGUGAGGAUGGUACUGUAAGACAGCAUGAUUUUAGGGAAUGCAGUUCCUGUCCUCGUGCAGGAUUGGUUAAUCAGGAAUGCCGUAACGUGCUUCUAGAUCUACGAUGUGGAGGAAAGAAGUCUUUAGCUGAUCCUCCCAGACAACCGCUGUCGUUUAAGUCUUGUGAUAUAAGCUCAGUUCGUCCCCAUCAGCUCCUUGUUGGUGGGAGUGAUGCGUUUGCCCGGCUGUACGAUAGGAGAAUGCUUCCACCAUUGAGCUCAUGUCAAACAAGAAGGAAGCCACCGCCUUGUAUAAAAAUGUUCUGUCCAUUGCACCUUGCUGAGAAUAGGAAGUCAAAUUUGCACCUUACCCAUGUUGCGUUCAGCCCGAAUGGGAAUGAGGUUCUUUUGAGUUACAGUGGUGAACAUGUAUAUCUAUUUGAUGUCGACCCAGACAAUACGAGUCCAGUGAGAUACACAGCAGAUGAUGUACGUGAUCAGUUAUGUUUACUGCCUUUUCACAAGGAACCAAGAAAACAAAAGUCAAAACGGGAUAAGUUUCCAGCUAAGAGAAAUUUGUGUAGGGUAGAUAUGUUGAAGAAACUUAUGCAAGUCGUGAUAAAAUCUCUGGAGACUGGCACAAACCUAAUGCAUGGCAUUGAAGCAUGCUGUGAAAUACUUGAGGCCCUGGAAUCUGAUAUUGAUGAUAGCACGAGACAUGAUUGUUUGUGUACCCGUGCAGGAUUGUACCUAAAGCGGAGGUGGAAAAAUGAUGUUUACAUGGCUAUUCGGGAUUGCAACGAAGCAAGGAGUAUUGACUUUGCAUCGUUCCAGGCACACUUGUUCAUGGCUGAUGCACUGUUACAGUUAGGAAGACUGAAGGAAGCAUGUGAAUAUGCAGAAGCUGCACAUAGUCUUGUUCCACCAAAUUCGGUGUCUGCGGAACAGGUGGAAAAUAUAAAGAAGCGACUUGCUGCUGCUGAACUUGAGAAAAAUAAAAAAGAUCAACAAGGAAAUACUAACACUGAUGCGCGGCAUGGACGGUUACGGUCAUUGAGUGAUCUACUGUUCAGAUCAGAUGUUAGUGGGUCAUCAUCACAGGAGGGCCGAGAAGAUUCAGAUUACGAUGAUGAGAUGGAGUUAGACUUUGAUACAUCAGUAUCGGGUGAUGAAAGCCGUGAUAGUGAUCCAGGUGCUGUUCGAGGUAGCUUACGUCUAAAAUUGCACCGAAGAGAGGACAAAACUAAUGAGCAGACUGUUGGGAAUGGAUCAGCUGAGUCCACUUGUAAUGGCGAUUCUGCCUAUGAGCCGGAUGUUGCCAUUGAUAUGAAACAAAGAUAUGUUGGGCACUGCAACGUGGGGACAGAUAUAAAGCAAGCUAGCUUUCUUGGUGAACAAGGGGAAUUUAUUGCCAGCGGAAGUGAUGAUGGUAGAUGGUUCAUAUGGGAGAAAAGAACAGGAAGGCUUGUUAAAAUGCUUGCAGGGGAUGGAGCUGUUGUGAACUGUAUACAGUCUCAUCCCUAUGAUUGUGCUGUUGCGACGAGUGGAAUUGACAAUACAAUAAAGUUAUGGACACCGGACGCAGAAGGUACUUCUAUGGUUGAUGGACCAGAAAUUGAUGUGUUAAGUGCCAUAGAGAACAAUCAGAAGAAGUUAUGCCGCAACCGUGAAACUUUGUUGCCCUUUGAGUUUUUGGAACGAUUUGGGGCGCAUGAAUUUGCUGAAGGAAGCUUGCAUCCUUUAGAGUGUGCGCAGACUUGA